UACGGAGGAUGCGAGCGUUAUCCGGAUUUAUUGGGUUUAAAGGGUGCGUAGGCGGCCUGCCAAGUCAGCGGUAAAAUUGCGGGGCUCAACCCCGUACAGCCGUUGAAACUGCCGGGCUCGAGUGGGCGAGGAGUAUGCGGAAUGCGUGGUGUAGCGGUGAAAUGCAUAGAUAUCACGCAAAACCCCGAUUGCGAAGGCAGCAUACCGGCGCCCUACUGACGCUGAGGCACGAAAGUGCGGGGAUCAAACAGG
rnacentral:rRNA from 1 species